rnacentral:tRNA from 4 species
AGCCCGGUAGUGUAGUGGCCAAGCAUAGAGGCCUUUGGAGCCUUUGACCCCAGUUCGAAUCUGGGCCGGGCUA